rnacentral:tRNA from 1 species
GGUGGCCCAGUGGUAGAGCGCUUGCCUUGCGUGCAGGAGGCCCUGGGUUCAAUUCCUCAGCACCA